UAUGCUUUAAACAUGGAAAUACAACAUUCCAUUAACCCCAUUUGCCUUCUGCAAACCUCCAUCUUCCUCCUCUCCCUCUCUCUUAAAGAUAAGGUAGUAGAGCGUUGAAAAGAUGAAUACCAGAGCCAUGCCGUCUCUGCAGUCAAGGGAAGCUCCACUGAAGCAUGGAAAAGAGAAGGAAGAAAUCCAGCCAACAGUCGCCACAAAAUCAGCACUUGAUGUUGAUUCAGACAUACUUAGAACAAGGAGUACCGUGUAGUCCAGAUAUGAUUAUGAAUCAAUUGGUGACAACAAGAAACCAUAAAUAUUGGGACUUGGGGGCACUCUGAAUGCAGUAACUAUAGAACAUUUCAUUAUCAGAUUUCCCUACCAGGCUACCACUCAAAAUUUGUAAGUGGUGCCUCAUUUCACUUUGUUUUGUAAACUUCACUUCUCUUUUCUUUUUCAGAUUGAUAAUGAAGUUUCUUCGUUGUCAUAUAUCUGAACCAUUGGUGACAUUUUCUCUUGCAUGUGGAAGCUGGUCCUCUCCUUCUGUAAGUUUAAUUUACUUCUUCACCAGUAGUCAUUAUUGAGUUUUGAAAUAAUUACAACACUCUUUCGGUGGUCCUGAGUUGAAUGUUGCUUCAUAAUAAUUGACUGUAUGUAUCAGUAUCACUCAGUUUUAAUGCCAUUGUUUCCUUUUUUUCUCCUUUUAUUUCGGCUAUAAAGCACUUUACUAGUUUAUGUUGAUUCCGUCGAAUGAAGGUUCGAACAUAUACUGGUUCUCAAGUUGAGCACGAACUUGAAGUGGCAAAGAGAGUACUUACAACAUGGUCGUCUUGUAAAUUUUGUUAGCCCUAUGCCAUAACAGUAAAAUAGGCCUUUUAAAACUAAAAUAUUAUUUAAUGUAGACCUUGGACUUGAAAAUUCUUAGGCUAAACAUCCUAAAUACACCUAUAUACAAAAGAUUUGAAAAAUUUUGGAGACCCUUACAAAAUUUGGGCCCUGUGCAGUUGGGCAGCCCACACAGGCCCA